GACGAACGCUGGCGGCGUGCUUAACACAUGCAAGUCGAACGGAAAGGCCCUGCUUUUGUGGGGUGCUCGAGUGGCGAACGGGUGAGUAACACGUGAGUAACCUGCCCUUGACUUUGGGAUAACUUCAGGAAACUGGGGCUAAUACCGGAUAGGAGCUCCUGCUGCAUGGUGGGGGUUGGAAAGUUUCGGCGGUUGGGGAUGGACUCGCGGCUUGUCAGCUUGUUGGUGGGGUAGUGGCUUACCAAGGCUUUGACGGGUAGCCGGCCUGAGAGGGUGACCGGCCACAUUGGGACUGAGAUACGGCCCAGACUCCUACGGGAGGCAGCAGUGGGGAAUAUUGCACAAUGGGCGGAAGCCUGAUGCAGCAACGCCGCGUGCGGGAUGACGGCCUUCGGGUUGUAAACCGCUAUCGCCUGUGACGAAGCGUGAGUGACGGUAAUGGGUAAAGAAGCACCGGCUAACUACGUG
rnacentral:rRNA from 1 species